rnacentral:lncRNA from 1 species
UAGGCUUCUAAAUUCCUGGUCAUGAAUGAACCAAGCCCGCUUCUCUCGAACAGAAACUCCACAUCUCGUGCAAUGCCCAGCUCCUUCAUCGUUUGCCGGUGAGGAUAGCGAGUUCCAACAAACUUUUGGCGCCUAAACAUUGUGUAUAGCUCUUCAGGAGAGGGUAGGUUCUUGGUCUUCCUUGGUGCCACUACCCUCCUAGGC